CAGAACCAGUCUGUACCCUUUUACCCUGAGGACCAACAUGAUAAGACUUCUCAUUGUACUAACUGUAAGCCUGCAGUGUGUUUCAGGGGAGAAUGAUGUUAUACAGAAUCCCAGCAUAAUCUUCACUUCAGAGGGCCAUGAGGCACAUCUAAAGUGCAGACACACCAAGGGUGAUGCUUUCUUCCAAAUGUACUGGUACCGUCAGCGGCACCAGGAAUCACUGACACUCAUAGUGUUCACAACUCCCAGUAGCAAGCCAGACUUUGGCUCCUUCAGUGGAGAUAAGUAUUAUGCUGCUAAAAAGAAUGCCUCGAAUGGAUCUCUCACAGUGAACAAACUGACAGCAGAAGACAGUGGUUUAUAUUUUUGCGCAGUAAGACAGCACAGUGUGACAGACAAAUGUUAUGCCACAAUGACACAUCAAGGGUUCAACUUUCAAAAGGAUGUACUGGUACUGUCAGCACCAUGGGGAGAGCUCAUUGUGUACAUGACCAGCUUUGGCACCAUAGACUGGAAAUUCAGCAAAACAGACAGUUCCUGA